CAUAAAUUAAUUACACAAAAACAACCCACAACAAAACAAUGUGGUAUGAUUCUGAGCUGGAGAUAGGUAAUAAAUAUCAAACAGUAGAUUAAAACUACAACUGAACUAGAGAAUUUGCAGAAAUCUUUAAUUACCCUUUGGCUUUUUCCUUUGCAAUCUACUGUACUUUCUGAUGAGGUUUUGGCUGAACUCUUUCCAUCAUCUUUUGGUUCUUGCUUUUUCUGCAGUUCCUGUCUGUCCCUCUCUUCAAGUUUUUUCCGUACUUCAGCUUCCUCAUAUCUGAGUUUAAGGCUGUCUGACAGUCUUUCAGCUUCUUCAAUAGCUUUUUUUAAAUUUGUAGGCCCAAGAAUGGAAUGGAAAUAAUCCUGUUGCUGCUUAAAAUCAGGUCUCUUUUUAAUAAAAUUAUAAACAGCCACAUAUUUCAUGUACAGGAUAUAAGCUUUCUCUUCAUCUCG
rnacentral:lncRNA from 1 species